AUUGAACGCUGGCGGCAGGCCUAACACAUGCAAGUCGAGCGGGGUUUUCGGACCUAGCGGCGGACGGGUGAGUAAUGCGUAGGAAGCUACCCGAUAGAGGGGGAUACCAGUUGGAAACGACUGUUAAUACCGCAUAAUGUCUACGGACCAAAGUGUGGGACCUUCGGCCACAUGCUAUCGGAUGCGCCUACGUGGGAUUAGCUAGUUGGUGAGGUAAUGGCUCACCAAGGCGACGAUCUCUAGCUGGUUUGUAGAGGAUGAUCAGCCACACUGGAACUGAGACACGGUCCAGACUCCUACGGGAGGCAGCAGUGGGGGAAUAUUGGACAAUGGGCGCAAGCCUGAUCCAGCCAUGCCGCGUGUGUGAAGAAGGCC
rnacentral:rRNA from 1 species